CCUACGGGAGGCAGCAGUGAGGAAUAUUGGUCAAUGGCCGUAAGGCUGAACCAGCCAAGUAGCGUGAGGGAAGACUGCCCUAUGGGUUGUAAACCUCUUUUAUGCGGGGAUAAAGGUGUCCACGUGUGGAUGUUUGCAGGUACCGCAUGAAUCAGGACCGGCUAAUUCCGUGCCAGCAGCCGCUGUACUACUGAAGGUCCGGGCUUUAUCCGGAUUUAGUGGGUUUAAAGGGAGCGUAGGCCGGUCUUUAAGCGUGCCGUGAAAUUUUGUGGCUCAACCAUGAGAGUGCGUCGCGAACUGGAGACCUUGAGUGCGCGGAAGGCAGGCGGAAUUCGUGGUGUAGCGGUGAGAUGCUUAGAUAUCACGAAGAACCCCGAUUGCGAAGGCAGCCGGCCGCAGCGUUACUGACGCUGAAGCUCGAAAGCGCGGGUAUCGAACAGGAUUAGAUACCCCAUAGUC
rnacentral:rRNA from 1 species